UGGGGAAUAUUGCACAAUGGGCGCAAGCCUGAUGCAGCAACGCCGCGUGAGGGAUGACGGCCUUCGGGUUGUAAACCUCUUUUAGUAGGGAAGAAGCGAAAGUGACGGUACCUGCAGAAAAAGCACCGGCUAACUACGUGCCAGCAGCCGCGGUAAUACGUAGGGUGCGAGCGUUGUCCGGAAUUAUUGGGCGUAAAGAGCUCGUAGGCGGUCUGUCGCGUCUGCUGUGAAAACCCGAGGCUCAACCUCGGGCCUGCAGUGGGUACGGGCAGACUAGAGUGCGGUAGGGGAGAAUGGAAUUCCUGGUGUAGCGGUGGAAUGCGCAGAUAUCAGGAGGAACACCGAUGGCGAAGGCAGUUCUCUGGGCCGUAACUGACGCUGAGGAGCGAAAGCGUGGGGAGCGAACAGGAUUAGAUACCCUGGUAGUCCACGCCGUAAACGUUGGGCGCUAGAUGUGGGGACCAUUCCACGGUUUCCGUGUCGCAGCUAACGCAUUAAGCGCCCCGCCUGGGGAGUACGGCCGCAAGGCUAAAACUU
rnacentral:rRNA from 1 species